GUGCUUGUAGCUCACUUUAAAUGGUUUUAGAAAAUAGUUCAGAUUUUUUAAAGUGUUUUCCGUUAUGUUUAAGCCAGAAUGGGUGGACAUUUGAACGAUUUUGAAUGGGGUGAAGGUUCCAACAGUUUCCAGAUACUUCUUUUUAAAUAUCUUUAAUACUACUGCGUUUUGAAAUGUGUUGUUAUUUGUGGCAUUCGUUAAAAUGUGUGGCAAGUCUGAAUUUAUAAAGCAUUCCUGUCUAGCUGCGUUUUUUAGAGGGGUCAUUUUCAAAAUGAAAUACGUACGUACGUAAAUAACGCUCGCUGUGACGUCAUCAACCCCCCAGCCGUGGCUCACAAGUCCUCCCAGCCGUGACGUUAUCAGAGUGGUACCUUCCCUAACUCCCUUCCAGUCCCUCCCAGUAAAUAUUCAGUGUUUUUUUUUCAAGUGAGAGAUGGGGAGGAGGAUCUAAAAGAACAUGUUUGCAGUGCGCUGUCAGCCCUCACCUGCGCCGCCUCCCCCAGUGAGCGGGUGUAGGCCUGGGAAUAGAACAUAUGCAGACGUCUUGGCAGUGCUAUUUAUGUCUGUUUGUUGAUGCUCAAGAAGGAACGUAGCAAAAGUUUAAGACUACCUGACAGCCACUGGUGCACAGUAGACUGGAUGUGGUGGUGCUGGCACUGAUCAGAGGCACACAGGCCACCCGGAGGCCAGUGUGAGGGCUCAGAUUCACCAGCAGCACAGCACUUCCAUCAUCAGGCUCACAGUGUACACCAGGAGGGAUGGGAAAGAGCCUGAGGAACACUCAUGAGGUGCCGUUUCCAUGUCUGCACUUAACCCGGUCUUUCUUUCGCUUAAUGCACAGUCUUUGCUGACAGUACCCCAUCAUCCCUCCCUGAAGUCAUCCUAAACUUUUACAUUGCUGUUGGGAAAGCUCUGUGAUAUCCCAAAAUUUUAUUGUUCUAUUGGCAAAGUUUUAUAUUAUGAGCUUCUAUAUUUCUAUUGGCAAAGGUUUAUGAUAUCCCAAACUUCUACAUUUCUGAGGGAAAAGUGGUUUUACUUAUGAUAGCUAUGUAAGGAAGAUGUUAUUACAAAAAUAGUAAGUUGAGUAGAUGAAAAUAAAUAUACGAGGUCUAGGAAACUAAAUCUUUCCUGUAAAUGCUCCCAAUACAAAUUUUGUCAUACAUGACCAGCAGCAGAAUGUAACUUUUGUGUUCAGCAAGGGACAACUGUACAAUAUGGUGUAUAUUUGCAGAUCCUACAACUUGUCAAAAUUCUUUCAUUAAUAAAUACAUCAAAAUCUUA